GCACUGCUGAGGAGUCCCACAAUAGGACGAAACGGCCGGCAAGUGC
rnacentral:hammerhead_ribozyme from 1 species